rnacentral:rRNA from 1 species
UACGAAGGGGCUAGCGUUGCUCGGAAUCACUGGGCGUAAAGCGCACGUAGGCGGCUUUCUAAGUCAGGGGUGAAAUCCUGGAGCUCAACUCCAGAACUGCCUUUGAUACUGGAGAGCUUGAGUCCGGGAGAGGUGAGUGGAACUCCGAGUGUAGAGGUGAAAUUCGUAGAUAGUUACGGAAGAACACCGGUGGCGAAGGCGGCUACACGUGGCCCGGUACUGACGCUGAUGUGCGAAAGCG